rnacentral:piRNA from 1 species
UACUUUAUGACUAAAGGUAUGUUGAGGAA